rnacentral:lncRNA from 1 species
AAACCAGUCUGUCGGUGUCAUACCAACCUAGGACAGUGGUGCUGAAAUUUGCACUAAGAGUGAUUCCAAAUGGGGUACUCCACUCACAGCCCAAAUACCGCUUACAUCAGUGCUCAUGUGCUGGAUGGAGAGAGAAAGGUCCUUUGCUGCCCAUUGAACACAGCCCAGACCUUUGAGAAUAUUCCGUUUCCCAAGAUGAAGAAAAAUAAUCGUUCCAAUGUGUAUUUGAGAUUCUGCUGUCAGAGGCUUUUCUGCUUUCACUCAGGCUCAGUCCUGAGAUGGCUGUUAACUUCAGUAAAGGUGUGAUUGCUCUGUGCUGGUCUGAAACCUCAAGUUACAGAAGCCCAGUGGGAAGAGGGAAAGAGUUAAAUGGAUGGUGAGUGCUUUUCAAAGCCACAUAUGGGCCCCUAAUGGGAAUUAUGUGGAUGUGGGUGGGCUCUAAGCUAGGAGUCUAAUGUUCAGCUGGCAAAUCGAUGCUCAUUAUCCAUGGUCCUCCCUACCCUAAGUCACCACCUGGGAAUCAAGCUAGCGCCUAAACAAAGAAAUUUGGAGUCUAAAUAUGGACUCUUGUUUUCAAAACUAUGUAUUGACUUAGAUAACAUCUGAAUGGACUAAUAGACACUGUUUAGCUCUACACACUUUCAGUAUGCAAUUAAAAAAUACAGUAGCUUCCAUCCUAAUUUUGGUAACUGACAGUUACAAUUAUGAACAUUGAGAGGAAUAAUAUUUUGC